rnacentral:rRNA from 1 species
ACGCUCGACACCUACGGGAGGCAGCAGUGGGGAAUAUUGCACAAUGGGGGAAACCCUGAUGCAGCAACGCCGCGUGAGCGAAGAAGUAUUUCGGUAUGUAAAGCUCUAUCAGCAGGGAAGAAAGUGACGGUACCUGAGUAAGAAGCCCCGGCUAACUACGUGCUAGCAGCCGCGGUAAUCUGAGCGGGCUGGCAAGGC